rnacentral:rRNA from 1 species
CAGCAGCCGCGGUAAUACGUAGGUGGCAAGCGUUGUCCGGAUUUAUUGGGCGGUAAAGCGAGCGCAGGCGGUUUUUUAAGUCUGAUGUGAAAGCCUUCGGCUCAACCGAAGAAGUGCAUCGGAAACUGGGAAACUUGAGUGCAGAAGAGGACAGUGGAACUCCAUGUGUAGCGGUGAAAUGCGUAGAUAUAUGGAAGAACACCAGUGGCGAAGGCGGCUGUCUGGUCUGUAACUGACGCUGAGGCUCGAAAGUAUGGGUAGCAAACAGGAUUAGAUACCCUGGUAGUCCAUACCGUAAACGAUGAAUGCUAAGUGUUGGAGGGUUUCCGCCCUUCAGUGCUGCAGCUAACGCAUUAAGCAUUCCGCCUGGGGAGUACGGCCGCAAGGCUGAAACUCAAAGGAAUUGACGG